AACUCAAUCUUUGCUUUCCUUGAACCCAACCCUAAUCUUAUAGCUACCCUGGGUGGAUCCAUUUCCUUAUCUGACUUUGGCAUUUUGAGUCGUGAACAGAGGUUUUUGAAGUAACCUGUCAUUUCUGAUCAUUACAACGUUAUCAUCAACUAAUCUGCUAACGUUGAAGUGCUUCAUUUUUACUGGCAACUAUGGGAUGUUGCAUUUUCUUUUGGGUUUGUUACUAAAUUAAGCAGGGGGGGCUAAUAAUAUUCAUAAAUGCACAUACUUUGUAUUGUUUUGUAUUGAAAUCAAUCAUUAUUACAGAUUGUACAAUAUUAAUAUUUAGAUAUAGCGCCCUUAUUUAUCAAGCUUUGGCCGCCCUUGUAUUGAAGAUACUUGUAUCUUCUGAACUACAAUCUUCUGUUUUGUUCGUUGAUGCUCUAUUUCAUUAUGUUUCUAUUGAAUACAGUACCUGGUAUGCUUCAUUUAAUGUUUGUUGUUUGUUUUAUUCACAUAAUCAGUUGUACAAAGUUA